rnacentral:lncRNA from 1 species
GUGCCAGGCUCAGGCUGCAUGUGUGAAUGACAUCCAAGGUUGCAUCGCGAGGGCCGCCUGCGGACAGAACGGCGGCGUGUGCACACAGGGAGAGUGCAACGUCAAUGAAACUAUAAUACAGAACGGGUGUCUGGGUGAAGGAUGCAGGUGUUGCGCGCCUAAGCCGUGCAGUAGGUCCAGGGUGUGCAAUAAGCGGCUUAAAGGACAGUGUGUUAAACCCGCUGACUGCCCCUCCGCAGACCCUGCUGUUGGGGACUGUGCCGAUGACUGCGUCUGUUGUGUUGAUUGCAAAAAACGAACGCCUUGCACGAGAUCCUUCGGCUAUUGCACGAAAGGCAGAUGCAACAGGAACGAAGAAACGAUCAAGGGCGGAUGCCAAGGGAAGAAGUGUCGCUGUUGCGCUCCCGGCAACCCGUGCACGAGGACAGGGAAGCAGUGCACGAACCAGGGGGGGCGGUGCACGGCCAGGAACCAGUGCACGACCUUCACCAACACCAGAGGAUGUAGAUCUGGCACCGCGGACUGCGUCUGUUGUCUCGAUCCUUAACCCUUUCAGCUCACACGUACACACACACACACCCAUGUGCGU